rnacentral:rRNA from 1 species
GAUGAACGCUGGCGGCGUGCUUAACACAUGCAAGUCGAACGGAAAGGCCCAAGCUUGCUUGGGUACUCGAGUGGCGAACGGGUGAGUAACACGUGGGUGAUCUGCCCUGCACUUCGGGAUAAGCCUGGGAAACUGGGUCUAAUACCGGAUAGGACCACAUUCUGGAUGGUGUGGUGGAAAGUUUUUCGGCGUGGGAUGAGCUCGCGGCCUAUCAGCUUGUUGGUGGGGUAAUGGCCUACCAAGGCGUCGACGGGUAGCCGGCCUGAGAGGGUGUACGGCCACAUUGGGGCUGGGAUACGGCCCAGACUCCUACGGGGGGCAGCAGUGGGGAAUAUUGCACAAUGGGCGCAAGCCUGAUGCAGCGACGCCGCGUGGGGGAUGACGGCCUUCGGGUUGUAAACUCCUUUCGCUAGGGACGAAGCGUUAUGUGACGGUACCUGGAGAAGAAGCACCGGCUAACUACGUG